GUUCCCAUAACACGUUCGUUCAGUAGAUUCCACGUUCCGGCUCUAGCCCUGUCAGGCAGACAACCGGGAGAGGCACUUGGCCGCUCUGAGGUCUCCAGGGAGAGAGCAGAAACUGUCUUCUGUAUAGCUGGUCACAUCACCGUCUGUGUGCGCAUGUUCAGAAAUGCUCGGGCCCUGGCACUGUCAUUGGCUGUGAUUCAGGAUGUCUGAAAGAAUAGAGAGGACAGACGUUGGGACUCAGCCGAGCCGACAAAGGAGACACGGCCUCUUUUCUCAACUAUCUCGAAAGUGGAUGGGAAGGACAGGAUGUAAAUAUUGGCCCUGACAUCAAAAGGCGUGGAUUUCGGCUGCGUGGUUUACUGGAUAAAUAAAUUGGUGGUGCCUGAGCCAGCUGUCAGAGUGGGAGCUGAUGGAGAGCAAGGAGGCCGCCUCCUGGAAUAGCAGAUGGAAGCCUUGUCUUCCCCGGGCUGUCCUGACGCUGCGCUCCACUUAGUGAGCUGGUUGAAUGGAGCAAAGAGCCAUACUUUCCAUCAACUAGAGAUUGCACACCCCUCAGAUACAGCAUCGUGGCCCAUGACUGGGACAGAACGGACUUUAAGCGAAUCACAAUGUCCUGAAG